GAACUGAAGAGUUUGAUCAUGGCUCAGAUUGAACGCUGGCGGCAGGCCUAACACAUGCAAGUCGAGCGGAUGAAGGGAGCUUGCUCCUGGAUUCAGCGGCGGACGGGUGAGUAAUGCCUAGGAAUCUGCCUGGUAGUGGGGGAUAACGUCCGGAAACGGGCGCUAAUACCGCAUACGUCCUGAGGGAGAAAGUGGGGGAUCUUCGGACCUCACGCUAUCAGAUGAGCCUAGGUCGGAUUAGCUAGUUGGUGGGGUAAAGGCCUACCAAGGCGACGAUCCGUAACUGGUCUGAGAGGAUGAUCAGUCACACUGGAACUGAGACACGGUCCAGACUCCUACGGGAGGCAGCAGUGGGGAAUAUUGGACAAUGGGCGAAAGCCUGAUCCAGCCAUGCCGCGUGUGUGAAGAAGGUCUUCGGAUUGUAAAGCACUUUAAGUUGGGAGGAAGGGCAGUAAGUUAAUACCUUGCUGUUUUGACGUUACCAACAGAAUAAGCACCGGCUAACUUCGUGCCAGCAGCCGCGGUAAUACGAAGGGUGCAAGCGUUAAUCGGAAUUACUGGGCGUAAAGCGCGCGUAGGUGGUUCAGCAAGUUGGAUGUGAAAUCCCCGGGCUCAACCUGGGAACUGCAUCCAAAACUACUGAGCUAGAGUACGGUAGAGGGUGGUGGAAUUUCCUGUGUAGCGGUGAAAUGCGUAGAUAUAGGAAGGAACACCAGUGGCGAAGGCGACCACCUGGACUGAUACUGACACUGAGGUGCGAAAGCGUGGGGAGCAAACAGGAUUAGAUACCCUGGUAGUCCACGCCGUAAACGAUGUCGACUAGCCGUUGGGAUCCUUGAGAUCUUAGUGGCGCAGCUAACGCGAUAAGUCGAC
rnacentral:rRNA from 1 species